UACGAAGGGUGCAAGCGCUACUCGGAAUCAAUGGGUGUAAAGGGUGCGUAGGCUUUUUAGUAAGUCUUAUGUGAAAUCUCAGAGCUCAACUCUGUUAAGCAUAAGAUACUGCUAGAAUAGAAGUUUAGAGGGGGUAACGGAAUUUCCGGUGUAAGGGUGAAAUCUAAGAAAAUUGGAAGGAACAUCAUUAGCGAAGGCAGUUAUCUGGUUAAAUUUGACGCUGAGGCACGAAAGCUUGGGUAGCAAACAGG
rnacentral:rRNA from 1 species